UUAGAGUUUGAUCCUGGCUCAGGACCUUUGCUGGCGGCAUGCCUAAUACAUGCAAGUCGAACGCUGAAGCACUCUGCUUGCAGAGUGCGGAUGAGUGGCGAACGGGUGAGUAACACGUGGGAAAUCUGCCUAGGAGUGGGGGAUAACAUUCGGAAACGAAUGCUAAUACCGCAUAUCUUUUUGAACCGCAUGGUUCUUAAACGAAAGACGGCUUCGGCUGUCGAUCUUAGAUGAUCCCGCGGCGUAUUAGUUAGUUGGUGGGGUAAAGGCCUACCAAGACCAUGAUACGUAGCCGACCUGAGAGGGUGAUCGGCCACACUGGGACUGAGACACGGCCCACACUCCUACGGGAGGCAGCAGUAGGGAAUCUUCCACAAUGGGUGAAAACCUGAUGGAGCAAUGCCGCGUGAAUGAAGAAGGUCUUCGGAUCGUAAAGUUCUGUUAUUAGAGAAGAACAAGUCAAGGAGUAACUGUCUUGACUUUGACGGUACCUAACCAGAAAGUCACGGCUAACUACGUGCCAGCACCCGCGGUAAUACGUAGGUGACAAGCGUUGUCCGGAAUUAUUGGGCGUAAAGGGAGCGCAGGCGGUUGGAAUAGUCUGAAGUGAAACCCCACGGCUUUACCGGGGAAGGUCAUUGGAAACUGUCCAACUUGAAUACAAAAAAGGGAAGUGGAAUUCCCAGUGUAACGGUGAAAUGCGUAUAUAUUUGGAAGAACACCGGUGGCAGAAGGAAAUUUACGGUUUUGGUAUUGACGCUGAAGCUCCGAAAGGCGGUGGGAAA
rnacentral:rRNA from 1 species